GCAGGCUGCUAUGGUGUUGUAGAAGAAGCUGAGAGCUACAUUCUGAUCCAUAGACAGGAAAGAGAAAGGGCCUGGGACUCACAGAAAUUCACCUGUCACUGCCUUCUGAGUGCUGGGACUGAAGACAUACAUCGCCAUGACAGACAAUUCCGAGGUUACGUCCACCAUUCCCAGGAAAUCAAAGUGCCGGGGGCUUGAAGCAGCUGGUCACCUCAUAUCCACGGUUACGAGCAAAGAGAGAAUUACACUCACACUCGCUUGCUACCCAUCUCACUCUCUCUCCCCUUGUCCUGAACAGUUUUAUGUCAACUUGACACGAGCUAGGGUCAUCUGAAAGGAGGGACUCUCAACUGAGAAAAUGCCUUCAUAAGAUCUGUCUGUAAGGCCUUUUCUUAAUUAGGGACUGAUGUGGGAGGGCCUAUUGUGGGUGGAGCCACCCCUGGCUUGGUGGUCCUGGGUUCUGUAAGAAAGCAGCUUGGACAAAGCCCUGGGGAGCAGGCCAGUAAGCAGCACCCUCCAUGGCCUCUGCAUCAGCUCCUGUCUCCAGGUUCCUGCCCUGUGUGAGUUCCUGUUCUGGUUUCCUUCAGAUGAACUAUAAUGUGGAAGUGUAAGCUGAAUAAAGCCUUUCCUCCCCAA